GAUGAACGCUGGCGGCGUGCCUAAUACAUGCAAGUCGAGCGAACAGACGAGGAGCUUUCUCCUCUUACGUUAGCGGCGGACGGGUGAGUAACACGUGGAUAACCUCCCUAUAAUACUGGGAUAAAUUCGGGAAACCGGCGCUAAUACCGGAUAAUAUAUUGAACCGCAUGGUUCAAUAGUGAAAGGCGGUUUUGCUGUCACUUAUAGAUGGAUCCGCGCGGCAUUAGCUAGUUGGUAAGGUAACGGCUUACCAAGGCAACGAUGCGUAGCCGACCUGAGAGGGUGAUCGCCCACACUGGAACGGAGACACGGACCAGACUCCUACGGGAGGCAGCAGUAGGGAAUCUUCCGCAAUGGGCGAAAGCCUGACGGAACGACGCCGCGUGAGUGAUGAAGGUCUUCGGAUCGUAAAACUCUGUUAUUAGGGAAGAACAAAUGUGUAAGUAACUAUGCACGUCGUGACGGUACCUAAUCAGAAAGCCACGGCUAACUACGUG
rnacentral:rRNA from 1 species